UUCUUACAUCAUAGCCUUAAUGCACCGGAUCCCAUUAGAACUAUGCAUUUAAGAACUCUAAGGCUAGAGUAGUAUUGGGAUGGGUGACUUCCAUAAAAGUCCUAGUAUUUUACAAG
rnacentral:rRNA from 1 species